rnacentral:rRNA from 2 species
GUAGGACGCGGCCUAUCAGCUUGUUGGUGGGGUAAUGGCCUACCAAGGCGACGACGGGUAGCCGGCCUGAGAGGGUGUCCGGCCACACUGGGACUGAGAUACGGCCCGGACUCCUACGGGAGGCAGCAGUGGGGAAUAUUGCACAAUGGGCGCAAGCCUGAUGCAGCGACGCCGCGUGGGGGAUGACGGCCUUCGGGUUGUAAACCUCUCUCAGUAGGGACGAAGCGCAAGUGACGGUACCUACAGAAGAAGCACCGGCCAACUACGUGCCAGCAGCCGCGGUAAUACGUAGGGUGCGAGCGUUGUCCGGAAUUACUGGGCGUAAAGAGCUCGUAGGUGGUUUGUCGCGUUGUCCGUGAAAUCCCACAACUCAAUUGUGGGCGUGCGGGCGAUACGGGCAGACUGGAGUACUGCAGGGGAGACUGGAAUUCCUGGUGUAGCGGUGGAAUGCGCAGAUAUCAGGAGGAACACCGGUGGCGAAGGCGGGUCUCUGGGCAGUAACUGACGCUGAGGAGCGAAAGCGUGGGGAGCGAACAGGAUUAGAUACCCUGGUAGUCCACGCCGUAAACGGUGGGUACUAGGUGUGGGUUUCCUUCCUUGGGAUCCGUGCCGUAGCUAACGCAUUAAGUACCCCGCCUGGGGAGUACGG